rnacentral:rRNA from 1 species
UACAGAGGGGGCAAGCGUUGUCCGGACUUACUGGGGUGUAAAGCGCAUGCAGGUGGCUGUGCAAGUAUGCUGUGAAAGCCCCCGUGCUUAACACGGGGAGGCCAGUAUAGACUGCACGGCUCGAGGACUGCAGAGGGUAGGGGAAUUGCUGGUGUAGUGGUGAAAUGCGUAGAGAUCAGCAGGAACACCAAGGACGAAGGUACCUACCUGGGCAGUAACUGACACUCAAGUGCGAAAGCGUGGGGAGCGAACCGG